rnacentral:rRNA from 1 species
GAACCAGUACCGUGAGGGAAAGGUGAAAAGUACCCUGAAUAAGGGGGUGAAAUAGAACCUGAAACCGCACGCCUACAAGCGGUCGGAGCAACUUUGUGUUGUGACGGCGUGCCUUUUGCAUAAUGAGCCUACGAGUUACUCCUCACUAGCAAGGUUAAGGAUUUAAGAUCUGGAGCCGAAGCGAAAGCAAGUCUGAAUAGGGCGUUUAGUUAGUGGGGGUAGACGCGAAACCGUGUGAUCUACCCAUGGCCAG